rnacentral:rRNA from 1 species
AACGAACGCUGGUGGCAUGCCUAACACAUGCAAGUCGAACGAGACCUUCGUGUCUAGUUGCGCACGGGUGCUUACCACGUGGGAACCUGCCCUUAGGUUCGGAAUAACUCCCCGAAAGGGGUGCUAAUACCGGAUAAUGUCUUCGGACCAAAGAUUUAUCGCCUUUGGAUGGGCCCGCGUUGGUUUAGCUAGUUGGUAGGGUAAAAGCCUACCAAGGCGACGAUCCAUAGCUGGUCUGAGAGGAUGAUAAGCCACACUGGGACUGAGACACGGCCCAGACUCCUACGGGAGGCAGCAGUGGGGAAUAUUGGACAAGGGGCGAAAGCCUGAUACAGCAAUGCCGGGGGAGUGAUGAAGGCCUUAGGGUUGUAAAGCUCUUUUACCCGGGAUGAGAAUGACAGUACCGGGAGAAUAAGCUCCGGCUAACUACGUG